rfam:Ciona savignyi cont_29113, whole genome shotgun sequence.
GGCCGGUUAGCUCAGUUGGUUAGAGCGUCGUGCUAAUAACGCGAAUGUCGCGGGUUCGAUCCCCGUACAGGCCA